rnacentral:pre_miRNA from 1 species
AUGAAAUGUGACAUGCCCGUUGGGUUUUUCUCUGAUAUCGGAUUAUUAUUAUUAUUUAAUUGAUUUGGGAAACGGGGUGUUACAAAUUG